CGGGAUUGGAUGGGGGGAACCCUGAUCAGCCUGCCGCGUGUGUGAAGAAGGCCUUUUGGUUGUAAAGCACUUUAAGCGAGGAGGAGGCUACUUGGAUUAAUACUCUGAGAUAGUGGACGUUACUCGCAGAAUAAGCACCGGCUAACUCUGUGCCAGCAGCCGCGGUAAUACAGAGGGUGCAAGCGUUAAUCGGAUUUACUGGGCGUAAAGCGUGCGUAGGUGGCCAAUUAAGUCAAAUGUGAAAUCCCUGAGCUUAACUUAGGAAUUGCAUUCGAUACUGGUUGGCUAGAGUAUGGGAGAGGAUGGUAGAAUUCCAGGUGUAGCGGUGAAAUGCGUAGAGAUCUGGAGGAAUACCGAUGGCGAAGGCAGCCAUCUGGCCUAAUACUGACACUGAGGUACGAAAGCAUGG
rnacentral:rRNA from 1 species